GUCUAGUGGCGCACGGGUAGUACACGUGAGCANUCUGCCGUGAAGUGGGGGGAGCGCGCCGAAAUGCGAAUUAUACCGCAUGUGGUGGCAACACCAAAGCAGCAAUGCGCUUCAGGAUGGGCUCGCGGCCUAUCAGCUUGUUGGUGAGGUAACGGCUCACCAAUGCAGUGACGGGUAACUGGUUUGAGAGGAUGAUCAGUCACACUGGAACUGAGACACGGUCCAGACACCUAGGGGUGGCAGCAGUCNAAAAUCAUUCGCAAUGGGGGAAACCCUGACGAUGCGACGCCGCGUGGAGGAUGACGGCCCUCGGGUUGUAAACUCCUGUCAUGAGGGAGCAAAUCCCGCUUUCGCGGGACUGAUAGUACCUCAAGAGGAAGGAACGGCAAACUCUGUGCCAGCAGCCGCGGUAAUACAGAGGUUCCAAGCGUUGUUCGGAUUCAUUGGGCGUAAAGGGUGCGUAGGCGGCUUGGUAAGUCAAAUGUGAAAUUGCGGGGCUCAACCCCGUACGGCAUUCGAUACUGCCAUGCUAGAGGACUGGAGAGGAGACUGGAAUUCACGGUGUCGCAGUGAAAUGCGUAGCGAUCGUGAGGAAGAC
rnacentral:rRNA from 1 species